rnacentral:SRP_RNA from 1 species
UUGUGCUAGAUGGGGAAUUAGCGGCACCCUGUACCUGAAAUCCGCUGUAGCAGGAUUGAAUUCCCGAAUUCGGAAUGGAUUUCUUGUUCCUCUAAUAAAUAUAAUGAUGUUGAUAUUUGGGCCUUACGCGACAAAGCCCCAUAAACCCCGCCAGAUCCGGAAGGAAGCAACGGUAAGUGGAAUGUUUUGGGUGCCGUGAGAUAACUCAGAUUGAGUUAUAUUAUUUAUUAAGAAUAAUUAAUUUGUUACAAAAUCGGGUGCACGG